rnacentral:lncRNA from 1 species
CGUCACUCCUCGGAACAAUCCCCAUCUGCCAGCUAUGACGAGCUCCGCCUGCCCGUGCUGGGGCAGCUGGUGGGAUGCCUCAUCCUGUGCUGCGCUUUUGUCCAGGAGGACAAAACAUGCCGCUGUGCUUUGAGCGCUCUCCGUCACCUCUACAGAUUUGUCCUGUGGAGAAGCCGCUGGGAAGGGCAGCUGGACGAGCAGGGGAAACUGGAGCAGUGGGAAGCUGACCACGAGUUCUCCCUCACCUGGACCACCAACACCACGGUCAUUUUGCUGCGCUUUGAGAAGUACUUCCACUCUUCAGAGAAGACUGAUCUCAUCCUCCUGGCGCUGCAGGGCAUGAGGGACUGCAGCAACUACAACACCCAGGUGGCUUCCACCUUGAUGGCCAUCCUGACGGUUGACUUCAACCCUAUGCCCAAUGAUGUGCAGCGCAUCGUGACGGCCAUCCACAGGAGCAGGAAGCUGAUCACAGAGGAGCAG